rnacentral:lncRNA from 1 species
UUUUUAAAUAUUUUUUUCUAAUGUUAGCUUCAUCUCUUUCUUCAGCAUGCUUUUGGAAAUAAAGCCAAGAGAACGUGUCUGCUGUGAAUAUGAUAUAUAGAAUCCACUUAAAGAUUAUUUACCUUAAUUGAAGAGAUAAGAGCCAAAGAAAGAAAAAUCUCUGCAGCUGAAAUCAAUUUAUUUGGUCUCCAUGAUAUUUUAGAGGAUUGAAAAGAAACUAUUUUCGCAGAAUUGCAAUGAUGUAGUUCCACGGCCCCGUGUCUGUCAACAGCACCAUUUGGAGAAAGUUUGGUUCAAAGGAAGGAAGAAUCAAAGAGACAAACAUGCAGGGCCCGUGCCUGCUGCCCUGCCGUCUUCAGCUGGUGCUGAGGUCCUUGCCGCAAAGAUGAGAGCUGGGACGUGAUGGAGACGGCAGCUCGAGAAUGGUUGACUUUCCCUGCUGGGUAAUCUUUCCUCAAGAAAAGAGAGAAUUUCUAUAGGGAAAGGAAUAAACUCUUAUCAAUU